rnacentral:lncRNA from 1 species
GUUCUUCUUUUGGGGAUGGCAGGACUGAGGAGGAAGUCAGGAGGCACCAGGCUUUUCUUGGGGCACAGAAUGACUCCCUUACACGACACUCUCCAGGUCCACACCCGCCCUGCUCAUACACAUAAACAGAUGGAAAAGAGGACAGAGCCUGGACUACGGGAAUAGGUUUACAGCACGUUCCUGGGGUCCGAGCUCUGGGAACCCCGAGGCUCUGAGACAGUAGCCGCCCCUCAGAGCUCCCAAGUAGAGAACUCCCCAGGCUUUCCCAAACUAACCUUGGUGCCCCCUGGCUGGAAAUCUCCCUUUAGGGCUCAAGAUCCUACUUCCCUCUUGCAGCCAAGCAGCUGUGAGGAGAGAAGAGGAGGAACACCAGGGAGCCCAGAGCCACCAGACAGUGACGCCACAGAGCCACAGCCAUCACACCCGCACAGGAGUAAACACAUGGAAGAUGUCGUAGACAUACAGAAGGGAAUGCUGUGUGAGGUCGUAGCGAGGACUCUCCUCUUCAGACCAGGGCAGGGAACCCAGCACAGCAGAGGGAUAUGGCACCUGCUUAACUGCUUCAGUGUUUUUGUUAUUAUUGUUGUUUUUUUAUCAAAAUAAAGCAUUGUUUGCUUUGAUUCUCAUUCAGAAUUUUCUUGAAGAUACAUUCCAUCCUUUGAAUUAUAGAAAAUUCCUGUAUUUCAAUGAGGUGAGGACAUAUUCACAGGAAAAUGGAGUUUACUUAUACGUAUGAACCUUCUUGUGUCCAUUAAGGAGACAUGGCAAGACAAAGCUUUCCUCAGCACACUCCACAGACAUCCACUGUUAACUCUUCCUGCUUCCCAUGUCCUAGUUCAACAUGUCAGUUCUGGAACUCCAAAAGUAAGUAAUAGUUCUUCUAAGUGAUCUAGGAUUAACAGAAAAAUUUCUCUGCUCGGGACGUUAUCCCUAUAGUGGAAGCCUAGGCUGAGAAACCCUGAAAUCCAGCUUAAUAAAGUUUCUCUCUGUUGUCUUAUUCA